ACGGCAGCACAGCAGAGCUUGCUCUGUGGGUGGCGAGUGGCGGACGGGUGAGUAAUGCAUCGGGACCUACCCAGACGUGGGGGAUAACGUAGGGAAACUUACGCUAAUACCGCAUACGUCCUACGGGAGAAAGCGGGGGACCUUCGGGCCUCGCGCGGUUGGAUGGACCGAUGUGCGAUUAGCUUGUUGGUGAGGUAACGGCUCACCAAGGCGACGAUCGCUAGCUGGUCUGAGAGGAUGAUCAGCCACACUGGGACUGAGACACGGCCCAGACUCCUACGGGAGGCAGCAGUGGGGAAUAUUGGACAAUGGGCGCAAGCCUGAUCCAGCAAUGCCGCGGGUGUGAAGAAGGCCUUCGGGUUGUAAAGCACUUUUAUCAGGAGCGAAAUCUGCAGGGCUAAUACCCAUGCAGUCUGACGGUACCUGAGGAAUAAGCACCGGCUAACUCCGUGCCAGCAGCCGCG
rnacentral:rRNA from 1 species